CCUUCCCUUCCCCACCCCCCCCGGCGCCUGAGGUGGGGGCGAUGCGGGGAACAUGGCUGGCGUCUUGGGAGGGCGGCAGCUGAGUGGGAGGGAGUUGUGUCGACCGGAGUUAACACAUCCUCUCCGCGGUAGCGACUGAGCCCCCGUCGCGCGUGUGGAGCCGCGGGAGCGGGCUGCCCGGGCAGCCCCUUCCACGGGAGCUCUCCGCCGGCCAGAGCCUUGCUGGGGCGGCCGUCGGGGUCCCGCGUUGCGGGGCUCGGCUCUCCGGGGUGAGCCUAGGUGUGCCUUGCGCCGGUCGGGAGCGUCCGGCCUGGCCGUCCCGUGUGAGCGGUGCUGCAGGCCCGGCGGGCGGCUGGGGCUGCUGGAGUGGGAGCGCCCACGCGCCUCUGCCAGAGGCUCGAGUGGGAAAUCUGCCUCCAGCGUGUCGGGUGCUCGCUGCCCGCUCCUUGUAAGGCGGCUUGGCCUGCCCUCUCACGCUCAGCUGUUGCUCAGAAGACUCGCAUCAGUGAGCGAAGAACGCGGCGCCUGCUGUGAAUGCAGCGUAAGCAAAGGGAGUUUCUCGUCCGGCAGGGUUUGUGUCACAGGGUCUGGUCCAGGUCUGCCUUGCCAGGCAGGGAAGCCCAAAGGCCUAGAGCUCCGUUCAUUCUCUUUUUGCCUCUUUCAUCCCUUCUCAGGUAUGUCUUGCUGCUCUGGCAUCCUGAAACCGCAGCUGAUGUUCAGGUGCAUGUAGGAAAAGGAAGUUACUUCCCGUAGCUGAUAUUUUUGGAAGGGACCAUUCAAAGGCAAAAAGGAAUAUUGAAUGACAUCAUAUUCAUUAAAAUGGAGACAGAACAGGACUUUUUCACCCAGAUCCUUAGCUGCCAAAACAGUUCCCAAAAAUGUUACCACCCACCACUGUCUUCACUGGAGGAGAUACAAAGCAAAUCCCACUGAAGGAAGAUUAUUUUGAAGAUGAUGUCUUCACUGAAGAAUAAUUACUUUAAAAUGUAGUAAGUGGAUCCCAAAUCCACAGUUUACUUUUGCUCCUUCCUAGUCAGCACUACCUGUGACUGUCACUCUUCUCCACUGCCACUAGUUAAUGCAGCUUGCAGCAAUAUGAGCGAGCACGACACAGUUUAUGGCUGAUUCAAGCUCACUGAGGCAGCAGUUAUCAGGUUGUAUUGCUCCCUGUAUACAUGCAAAUGCCUUUUUAACUGGAGGUGCCCACAUUUUUCUAACCCUUUCAUCCUGUCUCUAGGAGACAGAUAAUAAAAUUAAUUAAAGUAGGUUUUAUUGCACAUUUGGGAAAGUGAUGGGCCUUUGUAGCUCUGGAUCAGCAGUCUCUGAUUUCAUAUUUGCAUGAAGCUAAUAAAGAAAACAAGACAAUUGAUAUAAUACCCUCUGCAGACAAGAUUUCUGUAACUGAUGGCAUAACCUUCAUGACCACAAUACUGCAAUACACGAACUUACCACUGGAACUUACCACUGAUACUUACCUCUUUAAUGAUAGUUUUGGGAGACUUAAUGUUAAACUGC